UUUCCGAAGGACGCGUGGAGUUGAUUCUUCACGCUUGCGCCUCGUUCGGAAGUUUUUGGUUGGCCCGGGGGUGCCGGUACACUCGAGUAGGAACCGGAGGCACUCUCUCUCGAGGUUGCGCGGGCGGGGGUGUACGCGGACCCCCCCAGCCCCCCGUUCACCGGCACCGUGGUGGUCCCACACUGAGUGAUGGGCGUUCGGUUCUCUCUCGUUGCAGAGGAGGCAGAGCGGAAGGAAAGGAGGAAGAGGGAAACCGGGGACGUCGGUCAUCUCCAGGCGCUGGUGUUCUGGUACGUGGACCUCUUACUGUUGUGGCCUCUCCCGUUGUGGAGCACAGGCUCCGGACGCGCAGGCUCAGCGGCCAUGGCUCACGGGCCUAGCCACUCCGCGGCACGAACCCAUGUCCCCUGCAUCGGCAGGAAGACCCCGAACCACUGCGCCACCAGGGAAGCCCCUAACAACAUCUUUUGAAAGUGUACUUGUUUAAACUUCUUUUAGCUCUAAAUAGUUCUGUGAAUGGUGAAUAGUAAAGUUUUCCACUUAUUGUUCCAUGACAGACAUUGCAGAUAUCAUUUGCCCAAUGCAAGGAAGGAAAAAUAAUUACCUUUCUACCCUUCCCAAGUUCUUAUCUGGGGCCACUAUAACAAAAGAGAGAUUAACAAGAGAAAAACAAGUUUACUAACAUGUGUAUCACUUGUGACACAUGGAAGUCCCCAGAGUUGAAUAAAAGGUUUGGUUAGAACUUGAGUUUACAUAGUAUUUUAGCAAAAGAACAAUACAUGUUUAGAGAAGUGAUAAUGAAAAAGAACCUUGAAAUUUCUAGAGCGCCAAUUGUAACAAGGGAAAUAUAUGGGAAACUAAUGUAGAUAAGGGCUAGUUGGUAAAGUUUUUUAUGUAGAUUCCUCUGGUGCUGUUUCCAAAUUGAGAAGGUCUAAUGUUUUUUCCAGGGAUUAACUUUUCUCCUUCCUGGUUGAAAAGGGAGGAGGGACACCUUUGAAAAUUUAUGUCCUGCUUUUAGGCAAAUAAGGGGAGGGCAGGAAGUUUUUCUUGUAUCUACUUCUUUGUAUUUGCGCUUCACCUUAAAAUAAUCCUUAUGCCAAAGUGGCACAUUUAUACAAAUUAAAUAAGUGUAAAAUCUGC